CGAACGCUGGCGGCGCGCUUAACACAUGCAAGUCGAGCGAGAAAGCGGGCUUCGGUCCGUUAGUAAAGCGGCAGACGGGUGAGUAACACGUGGGUAACCUACCUCCGAGUGGGGGAUAACUCAGGGAAACUUGGGCUAAUACCGCAUAACAUCCGGAACCUCUCGGGGAUCCGGAUCGAAGCCGGGGAUCUUCGGACCUGGCGCCUGGAGAUGGGCCCGCGCCUGAUUAGCUUGUUGGUGGGGUAACGGCCUACCAAGGCUGCGAUCAGUAGCCGGCCUGAGAGGGUGAUCGGCCACACUGGAACUGAGACACGGUCCAGACUCCUACGGGAGGCAGCAGUGAGGAAUUUUGCGCAAUGGGCGAAAGCCUGACGCAGCGACGCCGCGUGGACGACGAAGGCCUUCGGGUCGUAAAGUCCUGUCGAGAGGGAAGAGAUGACAAGGGUGAUAACCCCUUGUCUCCGACGGUACCUCUGGAGGAAGCCCCGGCUAACUCC
rnacentral:rRNA from 1 species